CUUGCUCAGUUGCUGAGGCUGGCUUUCAGGCUCCUGAAUUGCUGGGAUUACAGGAGUGCACCAUCAUGCCUGACUCUGAGAUCUUUUCUUUACAACUGAUCAAAUUUGCCUGAGCUACCUUAAGAAAAUAAGAAUAAGGGAAUGAACACCUGCUGUCUUCCAUCACUGGAAAGUCGGGGUGGCUGUGUCUCAUCUCAGGAGCUUAGACAAUGUCCCCUGUGAUCCAAGCCCAGAGAAAAGACAUGCACGGGGCCCAGGGAAGUUGUGAAGAUCAGUGAAUACCACUCCAGGUAAACUGGGAAUAGCUGCUUCAUCAGCCUGGGCCAUGGAGUAAGAAAGAGGAGUCUGAAGACCAGAAACCCAGCCAACUUAUGGAAAAAUAACAUAAGAAACAUGCCUGUGCUGAGAUUUUCAGGAUUGUUUGUUGUUGUAGCAUAACCCUGCAUAUCCUGACUUACACACGGACAGAGCAAUUUUAAGUAGCCUUCUAGCUUGCCAAAAUCAUUUCAUGAUUUUAGUAGUCUUCUAAUGACACUCAAAGGGUCAACAUAUUUUGUUGACAAUGUGCACAUAGGCUGCAAACAUUUUCUGCUUGAUCAUGCGUGUGUAAGGCACCUGAAUGUGAAUUGAUUUUAGCAUUCCCAUCCCCUCCUGCAUGGAAAACAUGUUCACA